UACGACUAAAAUUCUCCCAUAUUCUAUAGUCAUGUUAGGGAGGUUUGAGAUUUAUUUUUGAACGAGAAGUUUGUUUGAAGCGGAAAGUAAUGUUACUGCGUAUAAAGACGAGCAGAAAGUCACUACUUAUGUAAAUAUUUGUGUCGCUCUUCUAGUGACAUAUAGUAUGAGGUCUGUUGCAUGAUGUAAAAAUAUAGGUUCGUUCGAGCACAUUGAAACAAUGAUUACGUGACAACGUACUAGCAACUUUAUCGUUGGAGUGAAUCAGUUCCGCGAAGAACGUAACGUGUUACUAGAUGGAGUUGAUGAUACAUUAGGAGUUACGUAAUGAUUAAUCACAAUGUUAGCACAAUUAUGAUGCAACCUCUUACGAACUGUCACUAUAACGAAAUACCUAUAACCAAAUUUUGCACUUUGGAACGCCUGCGUUAAACUUAGGUCGAAGUGAUUGGAAUCGAAACAAUGAACAACUAUUUUAUCGAUCAAACAGUCAAUUCAUCGUUACUCCUCCAUCCAACGUACUAACCAAAACCACAAUGGACAAACAAGAAAAAUAAUAUUCUCAAAAAAAUAGGGAAAAAUGUAGUUGAAUACAAGACAUCGUAAUUAAUCUAUUAACUCGACAAUCAUACAACUGGAACAAAGCAAACAUAACUCAUGAUGCAUAAAUUAGAUUCCACGGAUUUCGCAGACCACGUAAAGUUGCUAUUGGAACUGAUGACAGGCAAUUCUAAGCAAGGUACAUGAAUCACGAACCUGUUUAAGUCGUAUACACGUAUUAUCAUCUUCCUAUAAUUUUGCCAAUCAUAUUUUGCUACGUUUCGUCCGUCGAUAGAAUCGGUAAACCACGAAAACAAGGACUAUAUUAUCAGCUCCGAUGAAUCAGAUAUUGAGAACGAAGAUAACGACAAGACAAAUGAAAACGAACAGAAUUUUGGCAAUGGACGUUAUUACGACACGAUUUUUCGCUUAAGCAAAUCCUAUGAAGAUCACGCGAGGAACACGCGAAAACACUUAAAGCCGGACACGCGCAAAGAUGCCUGGGACGAUUUUGUGUUCGAGGACAAAAUGUACAGAGUAAUCCCUUUAAGAUUGGACGAAAAAAUAUUCAAAUCAAAAUAUACAACUUCUACUAAUAAAGGUCGAUUCAAACAAAAUGAUAAAUAAUAAAAAAAGAGAAAAAGCAA